UACCAGCACCCCGAGUGGUCGGGACGAUUAUUGGGCCUAAAGCAUCCGUAGCCGGCCUUACAAGUCCCCCGUUAAAUCCAACUGCUUAACAGAUGGGCUGCGGAGGAUACUAUAAGACUAGGAGGCAGGAGAGGCAAGCGGUACUCAGUGGGUAGGGGUAAAAUCCGUUGAUCCAUUGAAGACCACCGGUGGCGAAGGCGGCGCUCUGGACCGAGACUGACGCUGAGGCGCGAAAGCGUGGGGAGCAAACAGG
rnacentral:rRNA from 1 species